rnacentral:lncRNA from 10 species
GUUGUUUCAGAAACUGCACUGGAGAAGGAUGGACAUGCGUCUUGUGACUAUGAGGUGACAAUGAUGUUAAUGACAUCUGAGUGGAAAGAAGAUGAAGCCUAGAUUCCUGAACACAUUCAGACCUGCCACAGCAACCUAGCUCUGAACUCCCUUCAAGUAAGACAAACAGAAUUUCACUCUUGUGGCCCAGGCUGGAGUGCAAUGGCGUGAUCUCAGCUCACUGCAACUUCUACCUCUCGGAUUCAAGUGAUUCUCCUGCCUCAGCCUCCCAGGUAGCUGGGUUUACAGGAAUGAAAUGGACGUUCUUACUCAUCAUACCAUAAGCAUCCAGGUGAAUGAUUGCUCACUUCUUUCAUCUAAUGAGGAAUUGGCUUUCUUGAGAAUCUCAAUGCAGUGUACCUCCAACCUUAACAGACUGCUGUAAAACACCCUGACCAUUCUUUAGUAUAAGCACUGAAGAAGACAGUAUGUUGACCACGAGGCACCUGGCCUGGCUCAUAGUAUGCCAUCAAGAAAUGCUAAUUUUCUAUUUCCUCUUUUUCAAAGAGUUAUUUCAAGAAAGAAAGGAGAGGAGAGGAUGUUACAAAUUCCAUGUAAAUAAAAUUUGUCACUAAUUCUGUGAACUAAUUGAUAUCAUAAUUUGAUUCUCUUACCUCUUUUUAAUCUCUCUAUUAGUCCAUUUUUAUGCUGUGAAUAAAGACAUACCUGAGACUGGGCAAUUUACAAAAGAA